rnacentral:rRNA from 1 species
UACGUAGGGCGCAAGCGUUGUCCGGAAUUAUUGGGCGUAAAGAGCUCGUAGGCGGCCUGUCGCGUCUGCUGUGAAAUCCCGGGGCUUAACCCCGGGCGUGCAGUGGAUACGGGCUGGCUGGAGGCAGGCAGGGGAGAACGGAAUUCCCGGUGUAGCGGUGAAAUGCGCAGAUAUCGGGAGGAACACCGGUGGCGAAGGCGGUUCUCUGGGCCUGUACUGACGCUGAGGAGCGAAAGCCAGGGGAGCAAACGGG